rnacentral:rRNA from 1 species
AUGGCGAGGCUGCUGCUCGGGGUCUCGCUCCUGGCCAUGGCGCUCGGGCUCGGCUGCUGCGCUUCCAUCGCGCCGGCCCCUGAGCCCUCCGACUCCGCCUCCGAGCCCUCCGUCUCAGACGACGUGCGUGCGCUCCUCGCCUUCAAGCGAGCCAUCGACGACGACCCUCGCGCCGAGCUCUCCAACUGGAACACCAGCGAACCGGAUCACUGCUGGUGGUCCGGCGUCUGGUGCUCGCUCUCCGACGGCCGUGUGGUGGCUCUGGAGUUGUCAAACUCAUCUCUCUCGGGGUUCCUCGCACCAGAGAUUGGAUCCUUGACUUCUCUGCAAAAACUCAUAUUGGAUCACAAUGCAUUCACGGGCUCGAUACCGAGAGAAAUCGGCAAGCUAAAGAACCUCACAGUGCUGAAUCUCAGCACAAAUCAACUGGAGGGGCCCAUUCCAAGUGAGGCCGGUGACAUGCAAAACAUCACAACAAUAGACCUUCACGCGAAUCGGUUGAGUGGUGCCAUCCCUCCUGAGCUCGGCAAGUUGGCAAACCUCAAGGAGCUACGGUUGAGCAACAACAGCCUCACAGGGACUAUUCCUGGAAGCAAUGAUUCCAUCAUGGUGUCCACCAAGAAAGAAGAUCAGGUUGGUUUGUGUCAGUUAGCUCAGCUAACUGAUAUAGACCUCUCAAAUAACCUUUUAGCUGGAAGUAUUCCUGCGUGCUUGGGGCAUAUCCAAAGAUCAAGCAUGGUAGGAAAUUGCUUCCACAACAAUGACACAAGGAACCGUCCUGACUGGGAAUGUGGAAACAGCAUGGAUGCAGGCAAGGACAAUAACAACACCAGUAUUGGUGAAGAUGGGCAGAGAGGAAGAGUGAUACAGCCACUGUGGCUCCUCAUCGUGGAAGUCGUCACAGGAGUUUCAGUGCUCUCCAUCUUAACGCUCUGUGCCAUCGCUGGCCUCAGAAGACGCAAAGAUAGGUCCUCCAGGAGAGGUGUUCCAUGGACAAGAGCGCUAAGCUGGAAGGAAAACAACGUGAUCUCAAUUGAUGAUGACCUGCUGGGGAAUGUGCCGAAAAUAAGCCGGCAGGAGCUCGCCGAGGCCUGCGAAGACUUCAGCAACAUAAUUGGGUCUUCCCAGGAGACGGUGGUGUACAAGGGGACCAUGAAGGACGGCCGGGAGAUCGCCGUCGUGUCGAUGUCCGCUUCGGUGCACCACUGGACGAACUACGUCGAGCUUUACUUUCAGAAGGAGGUGGUAGAAGUGGCCAGAUUGAGCCACGAAAAUGCCGGGAAGAUGGUGGGAUACUGCAAGUCGUCCGAUCCCUUCUCGAGAAUGGUGGUCUUCGAGUACCCGUCGAACGGGACGCUCUACGAGCAUCUCCACGAUGUGGAAGGGUGUCAGCUAUCCUGGCCGAGGCGGAUGAAGAUAGCGCUGAGCAUCGCGCGCGUGCUCAGACACCUGCACACCGAGCUGCAGCCGCCGUUCGCCGUCGCCGCGCUGGCGUCCAGCUCCGUCUAUCUGACGGAAGACUUCUCGCCCAAGAUAAUUGACUUCGAGAGGUGGAGGGGUCUCGUCGGCAAACCCCUCCUGAGCUCCGGCUGCGUGGUGAACGGCGGCGGCGGGCAUUCCAACGGCGUCGUGGACUCCCGGCACGUGCGCUUCAUGGACGUCCAGGCCAACACCUUCGCCUUCGGCGUGAUUCUCCUGGAGCUGAUCAGCGGCAGAGCCUCGCUCUCCAAGGACACAGACGACCUGGUGAACUGGGCGAGGAAGCACUUGGAGCAGGCGGGGGAGUUUGGCAAGCUGGUGGACCCGAAGCUGAGGAGCGUGGGCCAGGAGAGCCUGGGCAUCAUCUGCAACGUGGUGAACCUGUGCAUCGACGCCGAGCCGUCGCGGAGGCCCUCCAUGAACAUGAUCGGGGCCAUCCUCGAGGAAGGCGUCGACACGUCCGUCAGGGACUCCUCACUGGCCUGGGCGGAGGCGGCCAUCUCCUAG